GGCAGGAGCAUAUGGGGCUGGAUGGACCGAUAACUGGGCGUGGUGGGGUAGAGAAGGGCGUACAGGGCUGGAUGGACCGAUAACCGGGUGUGGUGCGGUAGGGAGGUGCAUACAGGGCUGGAUGGACCGAUAACCGGGCGUGGCGCAGCAGGCAGGAGCAUAUGGGGCUGGAUGGACCGAUAACCGGGUGUGGUGCGGUAGGGAGGGGCGUACGGGGCUAGAUGGACCGAUAACCAGGCCCAGUGCGGCAGGGAGGGCGUACAGGGCUGGAUGAACUGAUAACUGAGCGUGCCACAGUAGGCAGGAGCGUACGGGGCUGGAUGGACUGAUAACUGGGCAUGGCGCAGCAGGCAAGAGCAUAUGGGAUUGGAUGGACCGAUAACCGGGCCCGGCGCGACAGGAAGGGGUGUAUAAGCCUGGCUGGAGUGUGUGUCUGAGCACUAGGCUGUUAACAACAUGUCCCGGUGCAGGGUGGAAAUUCGGUGCCAUCCAUGGGAGGUCGGGGCGCUUCCCUGCUGAGUACGUCCAGCCUGUGGCAGCCCCAGAUUUUAUCCAGCUGCCAGCAGACAGGAAAGAGGAACCCAAGAACAAGCAGGGCAAGGUGGCGGCCUCGGCGGCCGUGGCAGUGGCCGUGGCCUCCACGGCCGUGGCUCAGGAGCUGGACAGGAAGAUCGAGGUGUACCCCAUGGGCAGCGACUAUGCGGAGAGCGUGGAGGAGUAUGGCAGCGAGCUUCCUGGGGACGGUGCCCUACAGGGCAGGCAGUUCCCCAUGCAGGAGUUUGCCAAGAAGUAUUUCCGGGUGGCGCAGAGGAUGAAGACGUGAGUGCUGGCCGAGGGGAGGGAGUGUCCUUUAACCUUCCAGCCUCCCGUGACCCUGUGUGCAAUGAGUUUGGUGGGGUUCAGCCCAGUUCCCAGUGGGACAGUAGCCAUGUCACAGAAAGCACCAUCCUCCGUGGCGCUACCUGACCCCUGGUUGGCAUCCUGGGGCUGACUGCCCCGCUGCGGACCCAGGCUCAGUGCCCCGCCCAAGGGCUGCCUGCGGAGGCAGCAUACAGAGAAGGAAGGGCCUGGUAUUGCUUGAGAGCGACCUCUCUAGCUGAUUAUGGAACUGCACUGACGGGCUUUCUGGUCAGUCCAGCUGCAUGCCUG
rnacentral:lncRNA from 1 species